rnacentral:rRNA from 1 species
UACGGGGGGGGCAAGCGUUGUUCGGAAUUACUGGGCGUAAAGGGUUCGUAGGUGGCCGGCUAAGUCAGACGUGAAAUCCCUCAGCUUAACUGGGGAACUGCGUCUGAGACUGGUCGGCUUGAGUGCAGGAGAGGAACGCGGAAUUCCAGGUGUAGCGGUGAAAUGCGUAGAUAUCUGGAGGAACACCGGUGGCGAAGGCGGCGUUCUGGACUGUAACUGACACUGAGGAACGAAAGCCAGGGGAGCAAACGGG